rnacentral:rRNA from 1 species
UACGUAGGGGCCGAGCGUUGUCCGGAGUUAUUGGGCGUAAAGCGCGCGCAGGCGGCUUCGCGCGCCCGACGUGAAAGCCCCCGGCUUAACCGGGGAGAGUCGUUGGGGACGGCGGGGCUUGAGGGCGGGAGAGGUCGGUGGAAUUCCCGGUGUAGUGGUGAAAUGCGUAGAGAUCGGGAGGAACACCUGUGGCGAAGGCGGCCGACUGGGCCGACCCUGACGCUGAGGCGCGAAGGCGUGGGGAGCGAACAGG